UACGUAGGGUGCGAGCGUUGUCCGGAAUUAUUGGGCGUAAAGGGCUCGUAGGCGGUUUGUCGCGUCGGGCGUGAAAACCUCGGGCUUAACUCGGGGCUUGCGGUCGAUACGGGCAUCACUGGAGUUCGGCAGGGGAGACUGGAAUUCCUGGUGUAGCGGUGAAAUGCGCAGAUAUCAGGAGGAACACCGGUGGCGAAGGCGGGUCUCUGGGCCGAUACUGACGCUGAGGAGCGAAAGCGUGGGGAGCGAACAGG
rnacentral:rRNA from 1 species